rnacentral:lncRNA from 1 species
AAUUCUACGACUACUGUACUGGGCUUGCUUGUUUCAAGAAGUAUUUGUUUACAGAGCUCGUGCUAGUGCCACCGAUUCCCCCAUGAUCAGAUAUUGUCUCCCACUGUAGUAUACGCUUGGCUGUUUCUGUAUUCUUUGUUUCUGUAUUCCUUGUUUAUAGCUCGUUCCCAUACCUAGCCAGAGGUGUAGUAGAGUAACUUGGCGCCUACUUGCUAUGUGUUUGCCGAGGUAGAUGAGCCAUAGGUAUGUAGAUGAGCCCUAACUGUAUUAGUUGACAUAGGUAAGAGAAGAGGUCGG